GUGCUCACUUCAGUAGCACAUAUACUAAAAUUGAAACAAUGCAGAGAAGAUUAGCAUGGUCCCUCACAAGAUGACAUGCAAAUUCAUGAACCAAGUGCUGCUCCA
rfam:Myotis davidii contig118300, whole genome shotgun sequence.